rnacentral:rRNA from 1 species
CCUACGGGAGGCUGCAGUGGGGGAUAUUGGACAAUGGGGGGAACCCUGAUCCAGCGACGCCGCGUGAGUGAAGAAGUAUUUCGGUAUGUAAAGCUCUGUCAGCAGGGAAGAAAGAAAUGACGGUACCUGACCAAGAAGCCCCGGCUAACUACGUGCCAGCAGCCGCGGUAAUACGUAGGGGGCAAGCGUUAUCCGGAAUUACUGGGUGUAAAGGGAGCGUAGACGGUUAAGUAAGUCUGGAGUGAAAGGCCGGGGACCAACCCCGGGACUGCUCUGGAAACUAGUGAACUUGAGUGCAGGGGAGGUAAGCGGAAUUCCUAGUGUAGCGGUGAAAUGCGUAGAUAUUAGGAGGAACACCAGUGGCGAAGGCGGCUUACUGGACUGUAACUGACGUUGAGGCUCGAAAGCGUGGGGAGCAAACAGGAUUAGAUACCCGAGUAGUC